rnacentral:rRNA from 1 species
AGUGAACGCUGGCGGUAGGCCUAACACAUGCAAGUCGAACGGCAGCACAGUAAGAGCUUGCUCUUACGGGUGGCGAGUGGCGGACGGGUGAGGAAUACAUCGGAAUCUACUUUUUCGUGGGGGAUAACGUAGGGAAACUUACGCUAAUACCGCAUACGACCUACGGGUGAAAGCAGGGGAUCUUCGGACCUUGCGCGAUUGCAUGAGCCGAUGUCGGAUUAGCUAGUUGGCGGGGUAAAGGCCCACCAAGGCGACGAUCCGUAGCUGGUCUGAGAGGAUGAUCAGCCACACUGGAACUGAGACACGGUCAAGGCUCCUACGGGAGGCAGCGGAGGGGAAUAUUGGACAAUGGGGGCAAGCCUGAUCCAGCCAUACCGCGUGGGUGAAGAAGGCCUUCGGGUUGUAAAGCCCUUUUGUUGGGAAAGAAAAGCAGCAGGUUAAUACCCCGCUGUUCUGACGGUACCCAAAGAAUAAGCACCGGCUAACUUCGUG